rnacentral:rRNA from 1 species
AACGAACGCUGGCGGCAGGCCUAACACAUGCAAGUCGAACGCUGUAGCAAUACAGAGAGGCAGACGGGUGAGUAACGCGUGGGAACUUCCCCAAAGGUGCGGAAUAGCUCAGGGAAACUUGGGGUAAUACCGCAUAAUGCCGAAAGGCCAAAGAUUUAUCGCCUUUGGAUGGGCCCGCGUCGGAUUAGCUAGUUGGUAGGGUAACGGCCUACCAAGGCGACGAUCCGUAGCUGGUUUGAGAGAAUGACCAGCCACACUGGGACUGAGACACGGCCCAGACUCCUACGGGAGGCAGCAGUGGGGGAUCUUGGACAAUGGGCGCAAGCCUGAUCCAGCCAUGCCGCGUGAGUGACGAAGGCCUUAGGGUUGUAAAGCUCUUUUGCCGGGGACGAUAAUGACGGUACCCGGAGAAUAAGUCCCGGCUAACUUCGUGCCAGCCGCCGCCGUAAUAC